rnacentral:rRNA from 1 species
CGUGGCGGCCGUAGCGCGGUGGUCCCACCUGACCCCAUGCCGAACUCAGAAGUGAAACGCCGUAGCGCCGAUGGUAGUGUGGGGUCUCCCCAUGCGAGAGUAGGGAACUGCCAGGC